UACAGAGGGUGCGAGCGUUAAUCGGAAUUACUGGGCGUAAAGCGUGCGUAGACGGUUAUUUAAGUCGGGUGUGAAAGCCCCGGGCUCAACCUGGGAAUUGCAUUCGAGACUGAAUAGCUAGGGUACGGUAGAGGGAAGUGGAAUUUCCGGUGUAGCGGUGAAAUGCGUAGAUAUCGGAAGGAACAUCAGUGGCGAAGGCGACUUCCUGGACCAAUACUGACGCUCAUGUGCGAAAGCGUGGGGAGCAAACAGG
rnacentral:rRNA from 1 species